GUGUCAGCAGCCGCGGUAAUACGUAGGGAGCAAGCGUUGUCCGGAUUUAUUGGGCGUAAAGCGCGUGUAGGCGGCCAGGUAGGUCCGCUGUGAAAACCCGAGGCUCAACCUCGGGACGUCGGCGGAAACCAUCUGGCUAGAGUCCGGAAGAGGAGAGUGGAAUUCCCGGUGUAGCGGUGAAAUGCGCAGAUAUCGGGAAGAACACCCGUGGCGAAGGCGGCUCUCUGGGACGGUACUGACGCUGAGACGCGAAAGCGUGGGGAGCGAACAGGAUUAGAUACCCCCGUAGUCC
rnacentral:rRNA from 1 species